AGGUCGGGUGUGGAAGCACAGUAAUGUGUGUAGCUAACCGAUACUAAUAGCUCGAUUGAUUUACUUUGCUGUGAGAUUACAUAUGCAUAUAGUGUUAAUGUUAUAAGAGUGUAUAUCAACUCACAAAGUUAUCAGGUUAAAUAGCUUUAUCAACUAAUAAAAAUGUUAUUGCAUAACUAAUAUUAUACUGUAUGUAGCCCCGCCACGAUAUCCAGCAAAAAUUAUUUUGCUAAGUAUCGUAGUAAAAGUUAAGAUAAAAAUUUUUUUGAGUUGUGCA
rnacentral:misc_RNA from 1 species